CGUUACGUCAGGCUCAGUGUGUGACACAGGGCAGGCUGAGUGAGAAUUCAGUUUGGGUUUUUACAUGGACUCUGAAUGACUCACUGCAUCUGAGCAGCUCAGAGAGAGAGGAGAAACUGCGAUAAUUUAUAUCUAAAAUCCUCAAUCCCCAGAAAAACGUCCUAAAGGGGAAGGGAUUUUGGGUUUUAUUUAGUGCACAGGACUUUGCCUCUUGUGACGGCUGGAAACACAGGGCUGUGUGUCUGGACAAUGGUGUUUUAAAAGUGGAGCCGAUCGCAGCAGGUGUUUAGCAAGCAUGGCCAAACCAUUUGAUGACGGAAACUCGUCUGAUGCUCACACGCAGGAACACAUUCCGAGGGAAGUCCAGUCGAGCCUCACUAACUGCAUUGCCAGCACCUCUGGUCAAUAUUCACCUUUGCCCCUUGUUUGUGCCCAUUCUGUCAGGCGCCAGGCAGAAUACAGUAACUGCUCAGUGACAGCUUCAGGCUGCAGGGGUCAGCUCACCUGUGGGAUGAAUGCGACCACCAGCAGCACAUUUGCCGGUAAGACUCUAAAUUACCCAGUAUCUUUUAGACAUCCUGUUUUCUCCCUCUCCCUCUCCCUCUCUCUCGGCUGGUGCUGAAGGACUGCUGUG